rnacentral:rRNA from 1 species
GCCUCCUACGGGGCGCAGCAGUGAGGAAUAUUGGUCAAUGGUCGGGAGACUGAACCAGCCAAGCCGCGUGAGGGAGGAAGGUACAGAGUAUCGUAAACCUCUUUUGUCAGGGAACAAAGACUGGGACGCGUCCCCGGAUGAGUGUACCUGAAGAAAAAGCAUCGGCUAACUCCGUGCCAGCAGCCGCGGGAAUACGGAGGAUGCGAGCGUUAUCCGGAUUUAUUGGGUUUAAAGGGUGCGCAGGCGGGCUGUUAAGUCAGCGGUCAAAGCCCGGGGGUCAACACCGGCC